UAAUAAAUCAAAACUUCAACAACGGAUCUCUUGGCUCUGGCAUCGAUGAAGAACGCAGCGAAAUGCGAUAAGUAAUGUGAAUUGCAGAAUUCAGUGAAUCAUCGAAUCUUUGAACGCACAUUGCGCCCGCCAGUAUUCUGGCGGGCAUGCCUGUUCGAGC
rnacentral:rRNA from 1 species